rnacentral:sRNA from 1 species
UUCAAUAAACUAGACUUGGGGAAAAUAAAAUCUUAUAAGAAAAGCGAACAAAACAGAAACAAACGAGAAAAAAAAAAACUCUGGAAUGGCUCGUUUGAAACCUAAUUUAUUUUCGGAUGACAAAAAAAAAGACGAAAAAGGGUCAUGGAUUUGUUGGUUAAUGGUAGUGAUUGGUUUAGAU